GGUCAUGCUUCCAAGAAGAGCCCUAUACCCGUUAAGGCAUGAUGGCCUGUACCCGAAACCGACACAGGUGGGGUGGUAGAGAAUACCGAGGGGCGCGGGGUAACUCUCUCUAAGGUACUCGGCAAAAUGGCCCCGUAACUUCGGGAGAAGGGGUGCCACCGCAAGGUGGUCGCAGUGAAGAGGCCCAGGCGACUGUUUACCAAAAACACAGGUCUCCGCUAAGUCGCAAGACGAUGUAUGGGGGCUGACGCCUGCCCAGUGCCGGAAGGUUAAGGAAGCUGGUCAGCGUAAGCGAAGCUAGCGACUGAAGCCCCGGUGAACGGCGGCCGUAACAAUAACGGUCCUAAGGUAGCGAAAUUCCUUGUCGGGUAAGUUCCGACCCGCACGAAAGGCGUAACGAUCUGGGCGCUGUCUCGGAGAGAGGCUCGGCGAAAUAGAAUUGUCUGUGAAGAUGCGGACUACGUGCACCCGGACAGAAAGACCCUAUGAAGCUUUACUGUAGCUUGGUAUUGUGCUCGGGCUCGGAAUGCGCAGGAUAGGUGGGAGGCUAUGAACCAUUGCUUGCGGGUGAUGGUGAGCCACUGGUGAGAUACCACUCUUUCCGAGCUAGAGUUCUAACAGCCACCCGUUAUCCGGGGGCUGGACAGUAUCAGGUGGGCAGUUUGACUGGGGCGGUCGCCUCCUAAAGGGUAACGGAGGCGCGCAAAGGUUUGCUCAGGCUGGUUGGAAAUCAGCCGACGAGUGUAAAAGCAGAAGCAAGCUUGACUGUGAGACCUACAAGUCGAACAGGGAGGAAACUCGGCUUUAGUGAUCCGACGGUUCUGCGUGGAAGGGCCGUCGCUCAACGGAUAAAAGUUACUCUAGGAUAACAGGCUGAUCUCCCCCAAGAGUUCACAUCGACGGGGAGGUUUGGCACCUCGAUGUCGGCUCAUCGCAACCUGGGGCUGAAGUCGGUCCCAAGGGUUGGGCUGUUCGCCCAUUAAAGCGGUACGCGAGCUGGGUUCAGAACGUCGUGAGACAGUUCGGUCCAUAUCCGGUGCAUGCGCAGGAAUAUUGAGAGGAUUUCUCCCUAGUACGAGAGGACCGGGAGGAACGCACCUCUGGUGUACCAGUUAUCGUGCCAACGGUAAACGCUGGGUAGCCAUGUGCGGAGAGGAUAACCGCUGAAAGCAUCUAAGUGGGAAGCCCACCUCAAGAUGAGUAUUCCCAUGGGGUAACCCAGUAAGGUCACGGGAAGAACACCCGUUGAUAGGCUCUACGUGGAAGCGCAGUAAUGUGUGAAGCUGAGGAGUACUAAUAGACCGAGGGCUUGACCGC
rnacentral:rRNA from 1 species